rnacentral:rRNA from 1 species
CCUACGGGUGGCAGCAGUGAGGAAUAUUGGUCAAUGGGCGAACGCCUGAACCAGCCAAGUCGCGUGAGGGAUGACUGCCCUAUGGGUUGUAAACUUCUUUUGUCUGGGAGUAACAUGUUCCACGUGUGGGCUUUUGUAUGUACCAUAAAGAUAAAGCACGGCUAACUCCGUGCCAGCAGCCGCGGUAAUGCGGAGGAUGCGAGCGUUAUCCGGAUUUACUUGGGUUAAAGGGAGCGUAGGUGGGUUGUUAAGUCCGUUGUGAAAGUUUGCGGCUCAAACGUAAAAUUGCAGUUGAAACUGGCAUUCUUGAGUACAGUAGAGGUGGGCGGAAUUCGUGGUGUAGCGGUGAAAUGCAUAGAUAUCACGAAGAACUCCGAUUGCGAAGGCAGCUCACUGGACUCCAACUGACACUGAGGCUCGAAAGUGUGGGUAUCAAACAGGAUUAGAUACCCGGGUAGUC